rnacentral:rRNA from 1 species
UACGGGGGGGGGCAAGCGUUGUUCGGAAUUACUGGGCGUAAAGGGCUCGUAGGCGGCCAACUAAGUCGGAUGUGAAAUCCCCAGGCUUAACCUGGGAACUGCAUCCGAUACUGGAUGGCUUGAAUCCGGGAGAGGGAUGCAGAAUUCCAGGUGUAGCGGUGAAAUGCGUAGAUAUCUGGAGGAAUACCGGUGGCGAAGGCGGAUCUCUGGGCCAUUACUGACGCUGAGGAGCGAAAGCGUGGGGGAGCGAACAGG